AUUGUACAUUUAAAGUGUUAUAUUUUGUUGUGAUCUGAAGUGUCGUCAACAGCCAUGAACAGCAACAGGCACAUUCGUCGAUUUGUUAAAGAGGAGAAGGAGAAAUAGUGGUGCAAAGGACUCCUACAUUAAAGCCAUGAGAUCGUUGUUGCUGCCAGAAGGGGGUUUAAAAAACUU